GGCAAGAGCCAGAGCGCCGGGCCAAUACUAAGCAUAAAAUGCAUUAUAGAUGGUGCUUUGGGCUGAAAUAAACACAAAGUAAAUAAGCAGAUAUUUAUUUUUAUAAGAAUAAAUUAAAUAUUUUCUGUUAUUGAAGAAUAUCUGAUAUAGGUUAGCUGUUGAGAAGUUUACCAUAAAUGCUUAUUAAUUAAUUUAUGGGAUAUACAGGAGCUCUUAAAAAAAAGCCAAAUCAAGUGCUAGAGCUUACUCAUGAAAUGAUUUUGAAACUGGGCUUGUAAAAAUACUUCUUUGUGAAACUGCUUGUAGAUAUGAAAGAAAACCCUGCUAGAAUUCAUUCUUAAGACAUUAGAUUAUCUCUAUAUGUAGAACUAGUUCUGCAUAUUUUGUCUGAAUUAAGUUUUUUAGAAGGUUAAAAUAAAAUGUUAUUAUGGAAAGUGAGUGAAAAUUUGAGAUUAUCAGGUAAAUUUCUUAAUAGUAAGGUUUUGAGAGAGAUUUAUUGAAUGCCUGAAAAAGUGGGAACAGAAGAAGAGUGAGGCACAAAACACUCAAUGGGUGCAGUUGACAGAAAAAAAGGCUGAAAAGCAAACUUCGUCUUUUGCAGUUAUGCCCUGUGAUAUCUGGAAGCUAUCUGGAAACAUUGUUUUGGCAUGGCAUGGAUGAGUCAAGCUCUAGUAUAUCUUCAGUUUAUUCCAACUGUGUUAUUUGAUGGGAGUUUUCUUUUUGCUUAUCUCCAGCUCAGCAACCAACCUUAACCAAACUAAAGCUUUGGUAGUGUAACUGAAAAAGUCCUGGAAUUGGAAAAGAAAAUCCAGAAGUUGAGUUCCAUGACUUUUUUGCUGUUUGCCUUUGGAGACUUCUUUAUAACCUUUCACAUCGGAACAGCUUGUGGUCCAGGGGGCUAAUAUGGGAACCUGCCAGUUUCUAAGGACAUACUUCAAACAUGCAUUCAUGAACUGGGUAACCAAUACCAGAUUACCUGAUUUCCCUGAGAGUUUCUUGCCUGCAACCCACUUUCUGUACCCAAUUUCUAUACCAGUGAGGGUUUUGUAAUGCAGAAAUCAAUAAGAGAUGCUGCUAAUUUUAACAAGAAAGGACUUUUUAAGGAAGUAACAUAGAUAGGUCACAGAAUCCACCGGGAGGCUGAAGAAUCAACUUCAGAUAAUGAGAAAGAAACUUGAGGAGCUGGAUGCAAGGACAGAGUUAUGAGAUUACAAAGAACACAACAUUCAUCAGAAUGGGAGGUGAUUGGAUCAAGGAUGGAUUUCCCCCUUGCUGUUUUCAUGAUAACUUGCAUCAUUUAUAUUUUUAAUUCAUCGAAGAUGAGAAAAUUGAUUAACACAAAAUCUUUUCAUGUCUUUUCUGAUGAGAGACUAGCUGAAUCCAAGAAGAGAAGCCCUUGAAGAGCGUAUUGAAUUCUAGACAAGCAUUCACACAUUGGCUUCUUUGGUGCCAGCAUGUUUCUGAUCAGCAUGAAAACUGCCCAGGAGCUUUUCUGUCUUGCAGAGCUAGUUAAUGAGAUUGUUGCUGCCUUCAGAUUCUAUAAAGGACUUCUUCAAUAUUGGAUUAAAGAAUGAAGAAAGGAUCAAAUUGAGACAGCCAGGCGGGAAGAGUUCCCUGGCAAAACUCCACUCUGCCUGAGCAUUGAGGUGGAGCCACAGAAGCCCGGGUCAUUUGCAACAGGGAGGAGCCUGGCCCCUCCUCUUCCUGUGUGGAAUCUGGGAUUUAAUCUGUGAGGAGGGAAGGCCAAGGACAGGAAGCACAGGCUCUCACUUCACUAAGCGUCCUGUUUCCCCUUUUUUUGUUUAUGCCUAAUAAAUCCCAUUUUUCUCUCUUCACAUAGUCUUCAAGCCUAAAUUUUCAUGACUGUGGAACAAGGACCCCACCUUUAGCUGAACUAAGGAAAAGUCUUGCAACAAAAUUCUUUGCUAAAAAUACAUGAGGUUGCCUUCUUCUUAAUCUAAAAAGAAAUAUAUUUCAAUGGUUAAUGUUUUAGUAAUUCAAAAAUUAUCAAGCAUUUGUUCACAACCAUAAGUUGUGCAUUGUUUUAUAUUCCUAUUUAA